rnacentral:rRNA from 1 species
UACGUAGGUGGCGAGCGUUAUCCGGAAUUAUUGGGCGUAAAGAGCGCGCAGGUGGUUGAUUAAGUCUGAUGUGAAAGCCCACGGCUUAACCGUGGAGGGUCAUUGGAAACUGGUCGACUUGAGUGCAGAAGAGGGAAGUGGAAUUCCAUGUGUAGCGGUGAAAUGCGUAGAGAUAUGGAGGAACACCAGUGGCGAAGGCGGCUUCCUGGUCCGUAACUGACACUGAGGCGCGAAAGCGUGGGGAGGCAAACAGGAUUAGAUACCCU